AUUGAACGCUGGCGGCAGGCCUAACACAUGCAAGUCGAGCGGAUGAAGGGAGCUUGCUCCUGGAUUCAGCGGCGGACGGGUGAGUAAUGCCUAGGAAUCUGCCUGGUAGUGGGGGAUAACGUCCGGAAACGGGCGCUAAUACCGCAUACUUCCUGAGGGAGAAAGUGGGGGAUCUUCGGACCUCGCGCUUUCGGAUGAGCGUAGGUCGGAUUAGCUAGUUGGUGGGGUAGAGGCCUACGAAGGCGGCGAUGCGUAACUGGUCUGAGAGGGUGACCGGUCACAGUGGGACUGAGAGAGGGACCAGAGGGAUAUGGGAGGCAGUGGGGGGGAACAUUGCACAAUGGGCGGAAGGGUGAUGCAGAAACGUCGGGUGAGAGAUGAAGGUCAUCGGGGGGGAAAGCGCAUUAGUUUGUGACGUAGCGUGUGUGACGUUAACAAGAAAAGAAGCACCGGCUAACUACGUG
rnacentral:rRNA from 1 species